AACGAACGCUGGCGGCAGGCCUAACACAUGCAAGUCGAACGCCCCGCAAGGGGAGUGGCAGACGGGUGAGUAACACGUGGGAACCUUCCCAACGGUACGGAAUAGCCCAGGGAAACUUGGAGUAAUACCGUAUAUUCCCGAGAGGGGAAAGAUUUAUCGCUGUUGGAUGGGCCCGCGUCGGAUUAGCUAGUUGGUGAGGUAACGGCUCACCAAGGCGACGAUCCGUAGCUGGUUUGAGAGAAUGACCAGCCACACUGGGACUGAGACACGGCCCAGACUCCUACGGGAGGCAGCAGUGGGGAAUCUUGGACAAUGGGCGCAAGCCUGAUCCAGCCAUGCCGCGUGAGUGACGAAGGCCUUAGGGUUGUAAAGCUCUUUUGCCGGGGACGAUAAUGACGGUACCCGGAGAAUAAGUCCCGGCUAACUUCGUGCCAGCCGCCGCAGUAACAC
rnacentral:rRNA from 1 species